GCAAAAUAGGCUUGAAUCCGGAGAUAUUUUGACUGGAUAUGUUUUAUGACACGCGGCAUAUUCGGACCAGAUUUCGACCAUUUCCCGACUUUUCAAGAAUCCGUGAAAAUCUUGGCAUAUUUUGACUCCGGAAUUGUGUUUGGUGAAUACGGAGAUAUUUUGACUGGAUACCGGUAUUUUGAAUGACGUGUGCUGCCAAUCGCAUUGAAUAGAAUGUUGGCCCUCCCUCUGCCGUUAUGAUUAUGAAGCUCUGCGCGGCAGCCCGCCGCUUCCUAUCUGGAUUUCUGUCGUACGUUAGUCGGCAGCAUCUUUAUCACAGACUUUCCAGAAAUCUGUCGCAGACUUGUUAAGCCAUCAAAAAACCGUAUUUAGUUCUAGCUCUAGGCUAUGGGACUAUGAGGACUCCGAGACGGUGUCCAAGUGAGAUGGCUGGCGAGGUUGUUCGAGGUAAUUUCAUGAUGAGGAUGGACCAGACUUUAAGACAUUCUGAGCUCCAUGAAUGUCAUGAGACACUCCAGGAGACGGUGGUUGCAAUGCAUUAUCAACACCCCGCAACCCCAACCCUCCAAUGGAACCCAGAACCCUCCGGAGUUCCUCAGGACCUGUCGGCAUGAGUGAGGCGAACACAUCGUGCGUUGGAGGAAGAGUUGCAGUGACGACUUGGACCACAGGCCAGAAGCCUGAAAUAGAUUCUUUGAGAAUCUUAAAAGUCAAACAACUGGGCCUUGCGGGGAAGACUGAUGACGUGAGAAAAAAAGGAAAAAUUUGAUGAGCAGACGUGAGCGGCAGUGGUGCUGGUGGCGCAGGAUGUCCUGGAGGAGGACGACCUCGACUACCUCAAAGGAGCUGAUGCUAGCCUUGUGCCUGAUGGGGAAACAAGUGCACAUUUGUUGUGCUCUGUCUGAGAUGGAGAAGUGUGCGCCUUGCUGGCGUACUUCAAUUGAUGCCUGCAAGCCCAGCCAGCGAGUGACCGAUAGUGGCCGGUUCUCCCUUCGUGACCCCCGCUCCUUCUGCGGCCGACAAAGCUUGAAAUAUGAUUAAAUGUAAAUGUAAAAUAAGCAAUUAAAGAAAGAACAUUCAAAACAACAAAAUAAUUGUCUGUUAUAAUAUGAUUUUAGCUGGGAUUUAGCAGUAAUUUAAAGGUGGCCUAAUUGUUGUUUUGCAGUAGAUUUGUGUCUAUUAUAUUAUGUUGAAAGAAGUAUACUGCCUUACAAAGGCAAAGUGCAGUAACCAAUUACCGUAGGUUCAUUC